UGUAAGCCUUAUGUGAAUGUGAUGCAUACUUUUGAUGAAUAAUGUGGAAAAACUGUAUUUCUCUGCCUGUGAGAAUUACAUUACCCUUGUGUAAGGUAAUUGUAUCACAGGCAGAGGGGAGGAUUUUGUGUGGGAGUGUCUAAGUGUAUUGUACAUGUUUAUUGGUUGUUUUACAAAACCCUGUGGGUGGUUCUAAUGUGUAAGAAUGUGUAUACAAGAACAAUAAACCCACAGCUCUGUCUGUUCACUGCUUGACCUUCAACACGGAGCCUUGUCUCGUCUUUGGGGGGAUUUACUGUAUGCUGUUAGAGACUGAUUGCCAG